CUCACGCACGCGCACUGGUAUACUCACGCACGCGCCACCCCCACUGUGCGGCUGCAUGCACCCUCACAGUCUCCCUCUCACACACACUCCAGACUUCAGCAUCAGUGGUACUCGUCUCCCCUUCCCUCCCGCCUCCCCCCCACGAAAGGAAUCCAUCUGGCUCUCCAGCGCAGCCACAGAGCCUCGAACCAUCUGGAAACACAAGCACGGAGGUCGUGCCAGGCUGGAGGUUGGAACAAAUUGAGGGAUAAUCAGCUCCGUUGGCGGGAACUGUCGAAGCCUCAGCAGGAAGGCACAGGGACGGCUGGUAGAACCAGGCAGCCUUGAGACUGUCCCCUGCCGGGGCCUUGGGUCCAGGAGCAGAGCAGAUUAGCAAUAAAGAGAAACUAAGUGCAGGAAUCAACAUUCCUUCUCACAGGCUCAUCAAACAGCCUCCCCUGAAGAAGGCUGGGAAGUCUCAUCGCCUGCCCUCUCCACCCCCUCUCCCUGCAGUGGUGGUGGUGGUGCUGCCUCCCCCAAACCCCCCAAGGACCCCCCCAGGGGUCCUGGCUGGCUGGUUUCAGCAGUGCUUGAAGAAUGUCUGCCCCAACCCAACCAGAGCACCCCAACAGGGACUGAGGGGUCUGGGAGGUGACCCUGGAUUGAACACGGCUCUUAGACUGAAGCCCUGUGUAUUCCUUUCCCUCUCUGUUCCUCAGUUUCCCCUAAAAAUAAAGCCACUGACCUAAAAUGAUGCUUACAGACUCUUUCUAUUCCCCAUAGCCACCCACGGCUGGUGUGCUGCCCCCAUACCUAGGACAGGAUUUUGGCCAUAACUCAC